UGAGUGCAGCUUAAGGCGUCAUUUCCAGCAACUGAGCCCAUGCUUCUGUCAGGGAACUGAGAAUCUUCAUCCCUGUCACACGAGCGGCCGGAAGCGCACCCGUGGCUCCUUCCGGUUCCCUCUCGGCUACGUGGUCGUCAGCCCCGGGCCGCUCUAGGUGAGAUCCCGAAGGCCUCCGCGUGGUAACCUCCGCUCGUCCGCGGCGGGGACCGGAAGAGAAGCCCCGGCUUUCCACUGAUGCUCUCGUGCAGGCGGGAUCUGGAAAGGCCGACGCCCGCCCUGCUACGGGGAGGACGCGGAGGAGGGAGCCGAGGGCGCGUUCAUCCCUGCGGUUUCAGGCCGAGGCGAGUCCGAAGGACCCGACGUCUCUCCCUGUCGUCCUUGUCACCGAGCCAGACAGAAAGGCAGCCGGGAGGGCAGGCUCACGCCAGUAGCCGCUGGCACUUGGGAGGCUGAGGCAGGAGGAUAGCUAACUCGUCUCAGGCGUGGUGUGAGAAAGAAGCGUCUGUGACCGGCAAACUAGACGCCAAGUACUGUUCCCACCACACAUAAGAGGCAAUCAGCUGGAGACAGCAAAGAAGACUGGGCCGCAGAGGAGAUAUGAGUGGCUGUGUGCUAAUCACCAAAAGGAAAGUCACCAGGUCAAAAAGGAAAAAGAAAAAGGCCCCUGAAAAGAAGGGAGAAGAGCUGCCAGAGGAAGGGGGAGGAAGGGGGAGGAAGGGCGGAGUUAAUGCUGGAACAAUCCGGCAAAACUCAGGAGAUGCCAAAUAAAAUGGUGUGUGCAGUUAGUGA